GUGCACCAGGCGCGAAAACUUCACAAUGUGCGAAAGCACGAUGAGGGAAUCCCAAGUGCUUGCACGUAAGUGUAAGCUGUUUCUCUGUCUAAAACGCAGAGAGAGUAAGGGCUGGGUAAGACGGGUGCCAGCCGCCGCGGUAAUACCUGCAGCUCGAGUGGUGACCGUUAUUAUUGGGCCUAAAACGUCCGUAGCCGGUUUAAUAAAAUGCCUGGGUAAAUCGGACCGCUUAACGGUUCGAAUUCCGGUAGACUGUUAAACUUGAGACCGGAGAAGUUAGAGGUACCUCGUGGGUA
rnacentral:rRNA from 1 species